rnacentral:rRNA from 1 species
GACGAACGCUUGCGGCGUGCCUAAGAAAUGCAAGUCGAGCGGACUUAGGGACUUCGGCUUCUAAGUUAGCGGCGAACGGUCGCGUAACACGUAGGCAACCUGCCCCAAAGACCGGGACAACAGGGGGAAACUCUUGCUAAUACCGGAUGUGGUCACCUGAUCUCCUGGUUGGGUGAUUAAAUCCAAGCAAUUGGGCUUUGGGAGGGGCCUGCGGCCUAUCAGCUAGAUGGUGGGGUAACGGCUCACCAUGGCGACGACGGGUAGCUGGUCUGAGAGGAUGGUCAGCCGGACUGGGACUGAGAGACGGCCCAGACUCCUACGGGGGGCAGCAAUUAGGAAUCUUGUGCAAUGGGCGAAAGCCUGACACAGCGACGCCGCGUGGGGGACGACGGCCUUCGGGUUGUAAACUCCUUUUGUCAGGGAAGAAAACAAUGACGGUACCUGACGAAUAAGCCCCGGCUAACUCCGUGC